rnacentral:rRNA from 1 species
GUAGGUGGCAAGCGUUGUCCGGAAUUAUUGGGCGUAAAGCGCGCGCAGGCGGUUUUUUAAGUCUGAUGUGAAAGCCCACGGCUCAACCGUGGAGGGUCAUUGGAAACUGGAGAACUUGAGUACAGAAGAGGAAAGCGGAAUUCCACGUGUAGCGGUGAAAUGCGUAGAGAUGUGGAGGAACACCAGUGGCGAAGGCGGCUUUCUGGUCUGUAACUGACGCUGAGGCGCGAAAGCGUGGGGAGCAAACAGGGGGUUAGAUACCUGGUAGUCCACGCCGUAAACGAUGAGUGCUAAGUGUUAGGGGGUUUCCCGCCCCUUAGUGCUGCAGCUAACGCAUUAAGCACUCCGCCUGGGGGAGUACGGCCGCAAGGCUG